UACGUAGGGUGCGAGCGUUGUCCGGAAUUAUUGGGCGUAAAGAGCUUGUAGGCGGUUUGUCGCGUCUGCUGUGAAAAUCCGGGGCUCAACCCCGGACUUGCAGUGGGUACGGGCAGACUAGAGUGUGGUAGGGGGAGACUGGAAUUCCUGGUGUAGCGGUGAAAUGCGCAGAUAUCAGGAGGAACACCGGUGGCGAAGGCGGGUCUCUGGGCCGAAACUGACGCUGAGGAGCGAAAGCGUGGGGAGCAAACAGG
rnacentral:rRNA from 1 species